CUGACACACCGCCCUGUCGCUACUACCGAUUGAAUGUUUUAGUGAGGUCUUCGGACCGGCGCGCGGAGUUCCUUCGGGAACACCGAUGUCGCUGGGAAGAUGUCCAAACUUGAAUAUUUAGAGGAAGUAAAAGUCGUAACAAGGUUGCUGUAGGUGAACCUGCAGCAGGAUCAUUA
rnacentral:rRNA from 1 species